GUCUUUUUGGUUAAUAAUUUAAAGUCUAAUCUGCCCACUGAUAAUAUAUUAAAGGGCUGCAGUAUUUUGACUGUACAAAGGUAGCAUAAUCAUUAGUCUCUUAAUUGGUGACUUGUAUGAAAGAUUUGAUGAGAUAUAUACUGUCUCUUUUUAAUUUAUAAAAUUUAAUUUUUUAGUUAAAAAGCUAAAAUAUAUUUAAAAGACGAGAAGACCCUAUAGAGUUUUAUAUUUAUAUAAAUUAAAAUUUUUUAUAAAUUUUAAAAUUUUAAUUUAUAUAAAUAUUUUGUUGGGGUGAUAAAAAAAUUAAAAUAACUUUUUUUAUAAUUUUACAUUAAUAAAUGAAUAAAUGAUCCGUAAUUUACGAUUAUAAGAUAAAAUUACCUUAGGGAUAACAGCGUAAUUUUUUUUUUUAGUUCAAAUAAGAAAAAAAGUUUGCGACCUCGAUGUUGGAUUAAGAUAAAAUUUAAAUGCAAAAGUUUAAAAUUUUUGAUCUGUUCGAUCAUUAAAAUCUUACA
rnacentral:rRNA from 1 species